rnacentral:lncRNA from 1 species
UGUUUUUGCUGCUGCUGCUUGCUUUAUCUUUGUUUAUUUAUUUUUUUUAGUUAGCCCUAGCUGCUGCUGCUUGCUUCAGGUGAAAUCAACUUCUGGCUCCUGGCGUUUUUCGAGAUCGAGCGAGAGAGAAGAUUAGUAGGUUGGGUGCAUCUCUUCUCCACCUUGCAUGCAUACCUGCAGUGCAGUUUGCACUUUGCAAGUCAGACUUUAACUUUUCGUAUUAUAAUAAUAAUCUUGUGCCUGCAAACUACUAAUUAGAAGUUGCAGUGAGCUGCAUCCGGCCACUGUAUGUUCUGGUGUUGGUCAAAUUGGAUGGCUGCCGUGAUUUGGGAAAGAAAGAUGAAAACCGCCAUUCUUAUCUGCACGAAUCGGCUCUGUCCCAGCCCAGUAGUCAAGACAAGAGCAACCGCGUUACAAUACAGAUAGAUCCUGAACCUGGUGUCAUCGUUUUGGAAAAUCCGCUGUUUUUUUACACCAUGGAUGGACAUGGAGGGGGACGAUGUGACAGCGAGAAAAUAUAAAGUAGAGCAGAUAUUUCUGCGGUGCAGUGGUGAGAUUCAGACAGGUAGCAUCUGAGAGAAGGAAGGUCCAAGGUUUCGACGGCAUUCUUUGCUUAGCUAAGGGUCCAUGAAGAUUCGUAUUGUCCCCUAAUACUUGUCGCUGUUAGACGAAAAAUGACCUGCUCGCUGCUGCCUUCCGCGUCAUGACAUCGUCCAAUAAUAAUGAGCGUGUUCGGCUGGCUACAAGCCGACACUGUUGCAGCUGUUUGGACUGCUGCAGCUGCAAUCCAUAGAGAGAAAAAUACUGUAGAAGCCGCAGCCGCAGCCGGAUUGCAGCCGCAACAAGCCGCAGCGACCAAGCCGAAUGGCGCUCACGAUUCGUGUGGUGUGGUGGCAAGCAGCGGGAAGGUCUCAGUCAGUCCACCAAGGCAUCGGAGCGUGCGAUGUGUCCAGCUGCCGUAAGAUCCGGGCCCACCGUAUGAGGAGGUGGAGGAGGCCCAGUGGUGCCAUCUGGACGGUGGUGCAUACGAAUGUUCAGGGCCAAGCAAACCAAGCUCUUCGAUUUGGCACUUUUUUUUAAAAAAAUUCUGCCGAAAACCAUUCAAACCUGCACUGCACUGCCCGCCGCUGUUUGUUUUUUUAAAUAGUGAUGAUAAUCAUUGUAUAUGUAUUCUGUAUGACUGUAUAUUACUCAGUUAAACACUAAACACAGAACUGAAUGUUAUUUCUAAGCUAGUUAUAAUAUUUUUUCUUUCUGACCAAAGGUUUUUAAUAUGCAUCCACAAAACAUCUUAGUUUUAUUUUGGUCAUAUAUAUUAUAUACUUUUUGUUUUUGUAUUACUGUUAUAUGUAUAUGGACCGGUCUGGCACAUUAAGGCAUUUUGAGCUAUUUGGAUCGGCCUGGCACACAUAACUAAUUGUGGGUCGUGCCGUAGGCCGAUGACAGCGCACACGUGCUGGCAAGACACGACUCAUAAUUAGAUAUGUGCUUUUGUGUGUCGUGCCUUUGUGAACCGUGCUUUUGUGAGUCUGUGCCGGGCCGAGCCAAGCUGGCCCACAUGUACAGGUAUAAUAGCGGGUAUAGGUCCUCCUGUGUGUGUAAAUAUACAUUUAUUCUUUGAUCUAUCCCACUUAACACGUUCGAGAGUACUUAUAUGCCAUAGGUAAUGCUACAUUAUUAGUUGCCUCAGAAAACUUUUUUAUUGCUGAAACUAAGGCAGCAUGCUUUGCCUUAUCAAUGAUAUAGUUAUAUUUUAGCUAACGUCAAUACCAUGCCAACUCUCUCUCUCUCUUCAAGUUGGUCCAUUCGUUUGACUUUAAUCUAUAACAGUUUUUACUAUUUUCAUAUUGCUGUAUAUAGAUUGUAUAAUCUAAACUGUCAGCUUUAAUCUAAAGCGAACAUCUUUUUAGCUGGAGAAGGAGGAGAGCCACCGAGGAGAAAUGUGAAAUGACGUCUUCUCUUGCCUUGCUUGGGUUGAGGGGAAUAAAAAGGAGCUAGGACAUCUCACAUUUAUUUACUUGUUGCGGAGAGGUUGAGACAUAAUCAUCAUCGGUUGGUGUCUUCGUGAUUACACUCCAUCUAGAAGCUUCUCAGCGCUCAACUGCUCAAGGUCUCAAGCAGGUAGUAGCUGGUACCGUCGUCACAAGGACAGAAUUCUAGAUUUCAAAAAGGAAAGAAAAAGAAUCAAACUUUAUUUAUGUAGGACCGGUAAGGCGACCAAAUGUGUUGAAUGGGAGCCAAUCGGAUUUUUGUCUCCAAGCACUGAAAUUAACAUUUUAUUUCAAUUGUGAUGAAGUAAGUGCACAAACCAUAAACACAUCAGUGAACGACUGAUCUCAUGAUUACAAAAUGUUCCUAAUACUCACAUGAGACCAGCAAAACAAACGUAUCGCAAAUCGGACACCAAAAAGUCCAAAACGGUCCAAUACAGUAUCCGUCAACAAGUGAUGUUUUCAGCGUACGAAAAUCUGUUCUUGAUUUCAAAACUGAACUAAACGAAAUCCGAUUGAUAUGAAAUUUUACACAUAUCUGAGCAAAUACCUUUGCAAGAUCUCCCUAAAUUUUGAGCUCAAUCCGGCUUGUGAAUCACCCGCAGAUUUAAAAAAUACAGCAGGAAUUGGGGUUUUGUUGGGGUUUUCUAGAAACGAGUUCAACCUGAGUUUUUCUCAAAUCACGACCAAAAUCUGCAACAAAUAGGUGUAUGCAGUGGUCCGAAGAGUGCAACUCACCACCAAACAAUCCCAAACCAAAUCCUCUCAAAGGAAUCAAAAUUUUUAACCAACAACACAAGAUCGGGAAAAGGAGAAACCAAGACUAUAAAACUUCAGAAAUUCCAGCAAAGGUACAAACUGAGAUUUGAAGCCAAAGAGUCUUGUGGGCCGGACCGGCGACCCUUCCUCUUAUUAAACUUGAAAAUUAAGAAUACAUUCGAAGUACAAAAUCACUGCGGAAACCUCGGCUCAACUGGUGUCUGCCUAGAGAGAAAACUAGGAGCUCUAGAAUAAGUGCUCAAAACAAAUGGCAGCCAAGGGAUGCUGAACCAACCAGCCCUCCCCUCUAUUUAUAGAGGGUUAUUCUCACUUUCUAAACUACCCCUAUUUACAUAGAGCCUAUCCACUCCACGGGGGCGAAAUGGACCAAUUUCUAGGUUUUCAAUCCGACAGUCACGUCCUUCACACGGAGUUGCUUCGCGUUGAUGCACCCUCCGCGAUCAUGUCGCGUGCCGUCACCGAUUCCCCCCAAAACCGCCACCGCCGAGUUUUGAGGCCCAAACUCAGCAAAACCCGCCAUCCGUAGCGCUGGGUGGUUUUGAGACCUUAAACCACCAAAACUGCCGUGAGCAUUGCACCUCAUGCACGUCCUUCACGAUCAUACGCGUGUCCCGCCAGUCCUCGACCAUGCUGGCAAUACGGUCCACUACACCACGUCCUCGCACAAGUGUGUCCCAGGUGUCAGCCACCGCGGUUGGUCAUCUGGCUGCUCUGAUCCGUCAGUCAAGACACAGCACUCGCCCUUCACCGCUCCCGAUCCAUCAGCACGAGCCCGCAUGACCUUCACCUCAGCCAUCAACCACCGUUCCUGUGCUCCUCACCUGCACACCACAAGUCGACCGACAUGGUUGCACAAACAUAAUCUCACACUCUGGUCAGUCCACCGAGUACCCAUUGACAACCACUCAUUAUCAAUUCGAACCACAAUAAACAAGUCAACCUUGUGUUCGCAAUUUAUUUAUUUAUUUAUCAAGUCUGAUCAAACGUAUAGUAACAAAUAGUACCAAUAUUUAUAUGUCCAAACAAGUUUACUGCAAAUUUAUAUUCUUACAAUUAACCGAUGAUACCUGCACCUGGUAGCGUUAAGGGGAGGGGGGGGGGUGGUGUUCGGUAGCAAGCUCGGUUCCAAAUUCCAAUUCAUUUUCGACUCGUGUGAUGGAUGGAUGGCCAAUUCGUGUUUGCCCGGCCUCCGACCCGAGACCGGUCCCAAGUCCCAACUCACCGCACAAGCCGCCAGAUCUCAGAGCAGCUGCCACUGCCAGCAAUUAUUGGUGGGCCCGCCAGGCCCCACCCCCCUUCUAAUUAUGGAUGGGUCAGUGAACGGAAGGAACCGCGACGGGAAUAUCUCCAGCCCGGUCAUCAGUGCACGCCAGCUACUAUACAAAACCAGCCGAGCGCCAGAGGAGAAGAGCUCCGUCUUGCCUUCUCUUCUCUACCUGCCGCACCCGCACAGCCACAGCCAACCACACACCCCACAUCACAACAGCUCCCUCUGCAUCUCCGCCUCGUCGCCGUCGUCUGCCUGCACAACCUUCUUCUUCCUCAUCUCUCUCUCUCUUCUUCCGCUGCCACCCUCCCAGCACCGAGGGAAGGGAAGCCCAGGAAUCUCCGUCCCGCUCCCGGCCGCCGUCCUUCUCAUAACCUCAUCGGAUCUGGUACGUAAUCUAUUCCUACCGCCGUGCUCCUCGUUUCCCUAU